rnacentral:rRNA from 1 species
GAUGAACGCUGGCGGCGUGCCUAAUACAUGCAAGUCGAGCGAACAGACGAGGAGCUUGCUCCUCUGACGUUAGCGGCGGACGGGUGAGUAACACGUGGAUAACCUACCUAUAAGGCUGGGAUAACUUCGGGAAACCGGAGCUAAUACCGGAUAAUAUAUUGAACCGCAUGGUUCAAUAGUGAAAGACGGUUUUGCUGUCACUUAUAGAUGGAUCCGCGCCGCAUUAGCUAGUUGGUAAGGUAACGGCUUACCAAGGCAACGAUGCGUAGCCGACCUGAGAGGGUGAUCGGCCACACUGGAACUGAGACACGGUCCAGACUCCUACGGGAGGCAGCAGUAGGGAAUCUUCCGCAAUGGGCGAAAGCUUGACGGAGCAACGCCGCGUGAGUGAUGAAGGUCUUCGGAUCGUAAAACUCUGUUAUUAGGGAAGGACAAAUGUGUAAGUAACUAUGCACGUCUUGACGGUACCUAAUCAGAAAGCCACGGCUAACUACGUG